rnacentral:lncRNA from 10 species
AAUGACGUGGUCAGGAUUUGGUCCUGCUCUUCACCUCGCAGCUCUGCUUCCCUGUGUAGUAGUUUCAUUCUAAGCUAUGCCCUCACCAUGCUCAUGGCCAAGGCCCCAUGUCCUGCUUGGCACUGAGGGUGCAGAAACCCACGGUGGGAGGAUUUUACCAGAGGGAAAAUGGAUUCUGGCAUGAACGUCCUCACCAGAUGCUGAUGCCAUCCUCUUGAACAUCCCAGUCUCCAGAACUGUGAGCCAAAUAAACUUCUCCUGUUU